UCCGCAGGCGGGCAAGCAAGUCGGUGGUGAAAGUUCACGGCUCAACCGUGAAAUUGCCCUCGAUACUGCUUGUCUUGAGUUCGAGAGAGGAUGAUGGAAUUCAUGGUGUAGCGGUGAAAUGCGUAGAGAUCAUGAAGAACACCAGUAGCGAAGGCGGUCAUCUGGCUCGAUACUGACGCUCAGGGACGAAAGCGUGGGGAGCAAACA
rnacentral:rRNA from 1 species